UACGAAGGGGGCUAGCGUUGCUCGGAAUCACUGGGCGUAAAGCGCACGUAGGCGGCUUACUAAGUCAGGGGUGAAAUCCUGGAGCUCAACUCCAGAACUGCCUUUGAUACUGGUGAGCUUGAGUUCGGGAGAGGUGAGUGGAACUGCGAGUGUAGAGGUGAAAUUCGUAGAUAUUCGCAAGAACACCAGUGGCGAAGGCGGCUCACUGGCCCGAUACUGACCCUGAGGUGCGAAAGCGUGGGGAGCAAACAGG
rnacentral:rRNA from 1 species